UGACCAUAUACAAUGUUAUUACUUAGACCCCUCCCUAAUCUGAACGCCACUGAAUGUCGUCUGCCGUGCGGUUUCCAAUUUCCAAACAUUUAAGGUUAUGUGUAAUUGUUUAAAAAUGGUCAAAUUUAUAUUAUUUAAUUUACCGAUAAAUAAAUACUGAAAAAACAUUUAUCGUAUAACAAUAAAUUCUAAUAUUUAAUUAGACGAGCUAUUUCAGCAAACUACUGAUUAGUUAAUAAUGUGAAUCGCAAUCCUUCAAAUUCGCUCAAAUGGAAAUAGUA